rnacentral:tRNA from 1 species
GCGCCAUUAGGUCAAUUGGAUAGACUAUCUGGCUUCUAACCAGACUGUUGCAGGUUCGAGUCCUGCAUGGCGCG